ACUUUUGUGACUUAGUUGGUUAGAGCGCUGCACUGGAAUCGCAGGGCCGCAGAGUUCAAAUCGUGCCAGAGGAC